rnacentral:rRNA from 1 species
GACGAACGCUGGCGGCGUGCUUAACACAUGCAAGUCGAACGGAAAGUCCCUGCUUUUGUGGGGUGCUCGAGUUGCGAACUGGUGAGUAACACGUGAGUAACCUGCCCUUGACUUUGGGAUAACUUCAUGAAACUUGUGCUAAUACCGGAUAGGAGCUCCUGCUUCAUGGUGGGGGUGGGAAAGUUUCGGCGGUUGGUGAUGGACUCGCGGCUUAUCAGCUUGUUGGUGGGGUAGUGGCUUACCAAUGCUUUGACGGGUAGCAGGUCUGAGUGGGUGACCGGCAACAUUGGGAUUGGGACGGGGCCAAGGCUCAUACGGGAGGAAGAGGUGGGAAAUAGUAAACAAGGGGAAGAAGCGAGAUGCAGCCACGCCGGGUGCGGGAUGACGAUCUUCGGGUUGGAAAUCGCAUUGGCUUGUAACGAAGGGUAAGAGGAGGUAAUGGGGAAGAAGCACCGGCUAGAUCCGUG